rnacentral:rRNA from 1 species
CCUACGGGGGGCAGCAGUGGGGAAUAUUGGACAAUGGGGGGAACCCUGAUCCAGCCAUGCCGCGUGUGUGAAGAAGGCCCUCGGGUUGUAAAGCACUUUCAGUGAGGAAGAACGCCUGGUGGUUAAUACCCAUCAGGAAAGACAUCACUCACAGAAGAAGCACCGGCUAACUCCGUGCCAGCAGCCGCGGUAAUACGGAGGGUGCGAGCGUUAAUCGGAAUUACUGGGCGUAAAGCGCGCGUAGGUGGCUUGAUAAGCCGGUUGUGAAAGCCCCGGGCUCAACCUGGGAACGGCAUCCGGAACUGUCAAGCUAGAGUGCAGGAGAGGAAGGUAGAAUUCCCGGUGUAGCGGUGAAAUGCGUAGAGAUCGGGAGGAAUACCAGUGGCGAAGGCGGCCUUCUGGACUGACACUGACGCUGAGGUGCGAAAGCGUGGGUAGCAAACAGGAUUAGAUACCCGAGUAGUC